rnacentral:rRNA from 1 species
AGUGAACGCUGGCGGUAGGCCUAACACAUGCAAGUCGAACGGCAGCACAGGAGAGCUUGCUCUCUGGGUGGCGAGUGGCGGACGGGUGAGGAAUACAUCGGAAUCUACCUUUUCGUGGGGGAUAACGUAGGGAAACUUACGCUAAUACCGCAUAAGACCUUCGGGUGAAAGCAGGGGACCUUCGGGCCUUGCGCGGAUAGAUGAGCCGAUGUCGGAUUAGCUUGUUGGCGGGGUAAAAGCCCACCAAGGCGACGAUCCGUAGCUGGUCUGAGAGGAUGAUCAGCCACACUGGAACUGAGACACGGUCCAGACUCCUACGGGAGGCAGCAGUGGGGAAUAUUGGACAAUGGGCGCAAGCCUGAUCCAGCCAUACCGCGUGGGUGAAGAAGGCCUUCGGGUUGUAAAGCCCUUUUGUUGGAAAGAAACUUAGCGGGCUAAUACCCAGCAAGUCUGACGGUACCAAAGAAUAAGCACCGGCUAACGUUCUGCCAGCAGCCGCGUAAACCG